CCUCAUGUUGUUGCCGGAAAUUCCAGGAUGUUGUACCUUGACUGCUCCACUUUACUAUAAACCCAUGAAGCUUUAAAGGUGAUAGCUAGAAGGCAUAAUUAAAGGUGGAGAUGGUGGGUGUGAGCGUAGUGCAGGUGGCGAAUGGGGUUCGUCACACACCCCUCCCACCUCUCACGCACGAGUUACAGCUCAGCCAUGAAGAUCACACAAAGGAGCUGGACACAUCCUCCCCCCCACAUAAAGUGUUGGGGGGUUUUGUUGGAGGGGGGCAGCUGGCUUGGCGUGCCUGCGGUCCCACUUUGGAGGUCAUUGAGCCUACGACAGGAAGGAGAAAAGCUGCCUGGACAUUUGGUGCCAUCAUGCACAAUGCUGAUGCCAGGGUAACAAGUGUGGCUGGUGUUGGGCUUGGGACAAUUUCCCAAGUUGCAGUUGGUGUGGACCUUGGUGCAGACCGCAGACCUCAGGGAAUGGUUGCGCUUUUAUCUCUCCACUCAUCACGUGUAACUAGAGUAUUUCAUUUCACUUACAAGGUAACCAGUGUGUGUAUGGUGUCCGGUGGAGAAGUGAGUGUGGAUCCGGGCACCUUAUCAGCAGAGUUGCGUCCAUGGCGAGGUCUGUUGGUCGUUGGAACUGCGCAUGGCACGCUUCAUCUAGUUGACUUAGCAUUAGACCUAGGAGGUCAUAAGGUUUUGUCUGAUGAGGUCUCUCCAGGAACUUUGGUGAAUAUAACCAUACCAGAUGGCCAAGCAGAGAGUUCUCGGUUUAGUGCAGUUAUGCAGAAUUGCCAUCCAACUGUGUGUUUAAGUGAUGGCAUGAGUCACAAUGGCCGCUUCCAGCUCAUAGGACCUGACGACAAUGUGCUCUUUGAGACAGCAAGUCACUGUGUGGUAGUUACUGCCAUGUCCUUCAUCCCGCAGCUUGCCUCCCUUGUUAUAGGAUAUAAUUUUGGGGCUUUCCAGAUAAUCAACCUGUCAACAUUAACCAUAGAUUGUGCGAGUCCCUAUGAAGACAACAUGCCUCCAGUACAUUCUUUUGCCUGCCAAGAACCAGAGAAUGACCCCAAAAAUUUUGUUUACCUUUGGCUCUGUCGGAGUUGGGGUCCAUCUGAUGAUUCUGAAAGUAAGGAUGAAAGGCCUGCUAGGAGGAACAAAGCCCCAGCACUGUGCACCAUGUAUACCAUGACUUACGACAACAAAGUAUGGAUAGAAGGGCAUGGAUUGUGGUAUCAAGGCCUUGCAUCUAUUUCUCCGAGGUUCGAGUUUGAUGCCAUUGGAGGUCUGGGUCUGAAGGGCCAGCCAGCCCAACCCAGCACAGUGUUCACUGCCAUGACAGUGCGGCAGACAACCCACAAUUCAGCUGUGGCACCAGGGGGAUCUUCAGCUGCUUCGGCACUUGCUACUCCUGAUGAAGAUGCUGGACCAGCACCCGAACAAAGCUUGUCAAUGUUUGGGUGGGUAGGAGGCGUCCUGGAGCGGGGGUGUAUUACUGUUAAUCACUAUCUGGCCAUCUUCGACAUUAACCAGUGGUAUCAGGCUCAAAUGCCCUCUAAUUUGAAGCUAGAUGAGGCUUUGCUGUGCCCAUACAUGAGUUUCCAUGUGUUGGACAGAGUACCUGCAGGAGCUAAUGAGUUUGUCCUUGGAGCAGCCCCCAAGCCAGCGUCAUGGACAAGACACAUGUCACGCACUUGUAAUGACAGUGACUGGUUCCCUGCUGCCCUCUCAUAUGAUGCCCAUGUGUUAACUAGUCAAGGUCUAAUGGAAUAUCGAUGCCAGAGUGCUCAGCAGGCAUCCCUAACCUACCUUACAUCGUGUGGGCCCUCUGCAGUGGUGAGCCCAGGAGAGGCCCAUGCAAUGUGCACCUUUUCUGGCCUUAUUCCUCAAGAGAACCAUCUGACAACUACAGGCUCUUCUAUGGUUUUGGAGCGUGAAGCCCUUCUGAAUGUGGCUCUGGACCAGCAGUUGGUGUCCCUUUUGGUUCAGUGUGUUGCAGAAUUUGCCGAGGGUCGCUUUACUAACCUUGGAUGCUCCCUACCAUCUUUAUUAGACUGGGCUUGGUCGAGAGUGUGUGCCAUCAAGGCUACCAAUGACAACCUUAGUCUACCCUUGUUUGACCCAGACUGUGGAGUCAUUAGUGCAGAGAGCAUUACCACUCUUCACCAGAAUCUCAACAGUUUGGCCUCUCUCACCACCGUUGUUACUGCCAUAAGGGACUGUGCCAAAACUAAUAUGAUAACCAUGAAAGGUGCUGGUGAGCUUGAGAGUCGUGUCCAGGUUGUGAGUCUCUUGAUGCUACAUUUGAGUGUCGUCCUGUGGUUUUAUCACUGUGGCCUACUUUCCCAUAGUCCCACAGAAGACAUUGAAGAGUGUCAUGUACCCUUCCCUGCUGAUCUCUUGUGUCGGAUAUACAAGAACAGACGCUCAGAAAUCAAGCGACUGAGCACCACCCUCAAUGGUGCUGAGAUCCUCAUGAUUGAUGGUUUGUUGGAAGACUUAAAUGGUGGCGGCAGUAUUGGGAAGGCUUGGGAAAAAGAGGGAGGAAGUGGUUUGUACCCUCCACCUUCUCUACAUGCCCUUUUAGCCAUCUUCCUCCUACCAGAUAUCUCCACUACCACCAAGCACCGCAUCGUCCAAUACCUCUUCCUUGAUCUAGCGUCUCUCCUCUCCGAUGGGUACACAAGAGUAGUAGAGGAGUUGGUGAAGUAUCCAUCAAGUUUUUCUCUGUCGCCUUCACACAUCAAGCUUACCCAGGCCUUCUGGUUGCUUGACCACAAAGACUUCCAGGAGGGACUUAACGUGUUACUGGAUCCUCUUGUUAACACUAAUGACAUUACACCCUCACAACACAGAAGAAUUGUUAAAGCUUUCCUCUAUCAGGGUGAACACACAAGGGCACUGACUUAUGCCCAGAUCCGUCAGCCUCCAAAGGUGGACUUGGAUGACAUUCGACUGCAUCUAACCCUCCUCUUAGCCAAUGGCCUGAUCCGAGAAGCCUUCCACUACCAGAGGACUCAUCGGGUUAAGGACAACUCAGAAGAUCUUCUAAAUCAUCUUUUCACAGGUUGUGAACAACUUGGGAAACUGGAGUGUGUGGUUCACCUACCUCUCUCACCCUUGGAAGAGGAUGCACUUGUUUCCUAUCUGAGGACCUCCUCGUAUCCUGCAGCCCAGGAUUAUCUCCUUGUUUAUUAUCUGCAGAGAGCGAGAUACGAUGAAGCUGCAGUUUUGCAAAACAGCUUGCGUGGUGGUCUGGGUACUGCCAAAAAGCGACAGGGAGCAAGGUCAGCACUCAUCCAUGGCUAUCUCACACACUUGCCUGAUGUUGCUAAGAAGCUGUCAUCUGCCAACUUAAGCAACAGAGGACCAACACACACUGUUUACAGUAAACCCCAGCCCCUCUCAGCCCAGAUCCGGCAAGCAGCAUGCAGCCCCAAGACAACUGCAACUAACAUUAAUAAAAUGAUACAGCGAGAACAAGACACGUGGUCAGUAAAUAAGGGCGUGACCACACCCUACACCCCAUUCAGGAGCAAAGCUCAAAGGCGUAGAGGGUAUGGACAGCCUGAAGGCCUUGGGUUCGGGGAUAUCAACUCACCAAAAUUGAGAGAUCCUACCAGGGAGAUAUCCCACACAGUUUUCCCAUCGCGAGUCGAAGCAAGCCAAUUAAGAUACGUUGAUGAUGACGGUGAUAUUGGCCUUUUUAGUCCAACCAUUAAGAGGAGCCGCCAAGAGGUGUCCCUUCUGAAUGACGAUACCUCAAGACUAAUGGAGUCAGUCCUAAGAAAAAAUAUUCAUAGCAGCAUGGAUGUGAAUGCCAGUGUGUCUCAAAACAUUUCCUCUGAUUUGCUGUCCUUACUGCAAACCCCCAAAAUUGCCCGUAAGAGGAAACCACUGAACCGUUCUGUGGGAGAGUCACCUCUUGCGGACACCCCACAGUCCAUACUUAAGGUGCGCCAGAUGGUACAAAGACCCAUGAGUCCAUCAGCAACCAGCGACACUUCCAUCCCAGUGUUCCCGAGAAUUACCAAGAGAGCCAGUAUCUCAGCCAGUGAGGAGGUUGUGACAAGCAAAGUCAACGAUACUAGCAUGACCCCCAAGCAACUACGUUUCCACCUCCCCAAGAUGAGAACAGAAGGAGAGAGCAACAGCAAGGAAGAAGUGCUGGAUAGGGAUGAAGAGGAUGAUCUGACACCCUUGAAACUUGAUGUGGAAGAGGAUGAGGAGCAAGAGGAGAUUGAUGAGGCAGUGGAGAUUGAUGAGGCAGUGGAGAUUGAUGAGGCAGUGGAGGAGGAGGAGGAAGAAGAAGAGGCGAUGGAGCAGGAGGAGGAGGAGGAUGAAGAGGAUGUUGCAGAGGAUGUUGCAGAAGUCGAUGAUGAAAAGGAAGUUGAUGAAGAGGAGGAAAAGAUAGCUGCUGAACAAGAAGUAGCAGAGGAAGAGUCUAUAGACAUGGAGGAGCCAUUUAGGAAGACAGAAGCUGAGGAACAAGAGAUGGAGGAUGUAGAGGUAGAAGAGGAAGAAACAGAUGAAAUGGAAUGCAAUGAGGAAGAGAAAGAAACAAGCAGCGGAAACUGGAUUGCCGUGUCACCUCGUCCAGAAAUCCACAAUAAGAAGCUAAGCCCAGUGAGGCGGAAGUCUACUGGAAUCCCAUCGCCACGGCAACCUCUGCCUGGCUACGUGGCCAAAACAACUCGGGCAGAAGCAAUGUUACCCCAGAGUGUCUUCAAGGAGUGUGCUGAUGCAGAUGAAGUGGAUGCAAGUAGAGCUUCUGAGGAUGAAGUAGAUGUUGAGUAUCCGAGCCGGGAGACAACAGUGAAUGAGGACUUUUAUAGCUUCACGGAAGAGGAUGACUUCAAUGUCUCCGAAAAGUCUGCAAUAUCUUCAGCAGGAGAUGAGGUGACCAAGGAAUCUGAUGCAAUGGCUGAUAGAGUAGAACAAAGGGAACUUGACUCUGAGAAGCCAAGUGAAACAGAUGAGAAAAUAGAAUGCAGCCUUAAUGAACUGCAAAACAAUGGCCGUGGUAUCAUUGAAGUCCAACGGGUAGAAUAUGUAGUAGAAACCUCCAAACAGGAAGUCCAUCAUGAGGAGGUAAAUAAAUCUGUAUUGAUAGAGAAAGAGACGCUCAUCCCAAGAGAACCUGAGACCAAAGAGGAGAAGUUACAGCAGCAACUCAAUGAAUCAGAACAUUUUGGCACUCUACAAUUUUCAGAUUCUGAGAGCGAAGAUGAAUCAACAACAAAAGACCAGCUUCAAGAAGAAGCUAUUACUGUGACCAGACAGGAAUUUGUAUUAGAAGAGAAUGGUGGCAGUGCAGAAAAUGAAGAGGAGAUCAUUGAGAAGCUGUCUGAGGAAGAGGAAGAGAUGAUAGUUGAAGCUCUCUCAGAAGAGGAAGAUCUGAGUCUGGUUCUAGAUACAACAGAGCGAUUCAGCCCUCUGCGAUUUUCAGAUUCUGAAAGUGAAAACGAUGGCUCUGACGGUGAACAGGAGAAAGGAAUUGAUAGAAAUGGAACAGAUAACAAGACUUUUGUAGAAUUAAGUGAAACCAAAGACAAAGAGGAAAUUAAGGUUGACGCUUCCCAGCGACAUCCCGUAAGUGUGCAGGUUUUCAAAACAGAGAUAGUCUCAGAGACAAAAGUCAUCAGGAAGACUGUAGAGUCUCCAUUACCGAAGGAAUCUGUCUUCACAGAGACCAGAUCAGAAACUAUCAGUGUAGAGAACAAUAAUGAAGAAAUUGCAAAAUAUAUUGAAGAGGAUGUAUCAAAGAAGAAUAUAACUGGUACAGAGACAGGAGAACCAAUUGCAAGCAGUGAAGAAGGAGUAUCAUAUACCUCAUCAACAAAUGGAUCAUCAGAACUAAACCACAAAGCCGUAGAAACAAUAUCAUUUUCAGACAUCUCAAAGUCCUCGACUGAGGUGGUGGAAGAUCAGUCAGAAAAAUUGGACAUUCCAUCUGCAGCAGACUCAAUGGACGUGGAUGAAGGACAGAGUGAGGUCAUUCAUCAAGAGAGCAAAGAAGUGGAAGUCCCGGAGAAAGACAUAGACACAGGCAAAAAGGAGAGUGUUGCCGAAAAAAUGGAAGAAGAGAUGGGUACAUCUGUAGUAGAUGGUGUAGUUGGCUCUAAAGUAAGUGUCUUAGUAGAAAAAGAAAAUAUGGAGACAGAUGAAACUGAAGAGAAGGUAAAUGCUGAAGUUGAGUCUCAGCUAGAACAGGAAGCUGUAGAAAGAGCAGAAAUUGGUAGAUUAGAUGUUACACCUCCUGAGGAUUCCAAGGAGGAAAAAACUGUUGAUUUAGAAGAUGGUGCGCCAGCCACUGAUGGUACUGUAAUUAAGUCAGACAUUGUGGAAACUAGAGAUACUCAGGUUAGCAAGAAGAUUGAAGAAAUGAUUCAAGAAGUAGAAAGCAGUCCUUUAGAGGAAAGUUCUAAACUUCCUACUAGACCAGAAACACCAACUAGAAAAGCUGAGGAAGUGCCAGAAACUUCAAGGGUAGCUUCAGUGCGAAGAAGUAGAAGAGUCAGCACAUCAUCACCAGCCACUCCUGCAACCCCAAGAAGAAGUCGAAGGACAAGUGGCAAUACAGCAGAUGAACCAGUGACUCCUGCCCACAAAAGUUUAAGUGAAGUUGCCUUUGAAAGGGUGACAAGGUCAGGAAGAAAGAUUGGACAGGUGCCAACGCCGGUUACAAAGAAGCGGGCCACAUCUCCCACAUCUAACCUUGUCUUGUCAGGGAGGAUGCAGAGAAGAGCCUCAGCAGCAGCAGAGGAAGUGCAGAAAGUGACUCAGAGGCUGGAGUUGUCUACUGAUGAAACUGAGGAGGCACCUGCAGCAGUUCAGGAACCAGAGUCUGUGUCUAUAGCCACUCAUGAUGUCCUGCCAACUCCACCCUCAUCACCUACAACUCCAUCCACAAGGAGACGAAGGAGGCAGAGCUCUGGAGAGGCUGAAGCUUCUGCCACCAAAUCCCCGAGUAGGCGUUCUACCAGACAAAGUGCCUUGGAUGAGUCUUUAGGGACAAUUCAAGAAGAAGCAGAGGUAUCAGAGAGUCUAGAGAUUAUAGCUCCAAAAAGUAAAACCACCCCUAGGAAAUUAGAAGGUACUCCCACCAAAGCAACUCCAACUAAAUCCACACCAACAAGGACACGCAGAAAAUCAGCCAAACAAGCUGCUGGCAUUGAGAGCUUAGAAACAAUUAAAGAGGAUGCAGAACUUUCAACUGGUUUUGUGCCUCUUGUUUUAGAUGAACAGAUAACAGGAACUCCAUCCCGAAGAACUCGUCGCUCACUUGCAGGAGAGACCAGUCGCACGCCUGGCACUCUUACACUUGGAGAGGUUUCAGAGACCACACCUGAAACCAAGACCCCAUCACGUACCAGAAGAAGGUCCAUAUCAAAGGCGUCAGAAGCCACUCCUGAAGUCAAGACUCCUAUGCGUACAAGGCGGCAAUCUGGUGCAUCUGAUGUUUCUGACAUUGCAGUGGAAGCUAAGACACCAACACGAAGGACACGGAAAUCUGUCACAAAGGAAGUGUUAGAAGUCACACCAGAGAAGAAAACUCCUGCAAGGACAAGAAGACAGUCAGUGUCCUCUGAUGUGUCAGAAGCAGCUCAGGAGGUCAAGACACCAACACGCAGGACACGCCAGUCUGUUUCAAAAGAAUUAAUGGAGACUGUCCAAGAAGCCAAAACUCCAGUCCGCACAAGAAGACAGUCUGCUUCAUCUGAAGUGUCAGAGGCUGCUUCAGAAACCCACGUGAAGACACGUGGAAGACGACAGUCGAUAUCAGAGAGCACGACAGAGGUUGUCCCUAAAGCAAAGACUCCCUCACAGAAGAGUCAACAAUCUCAGUCAACCAAAAGCACAAGAAGAAGAACAAUACAGGUUUUGCAAUCUGAAGAAGACUCGGCUUUUGAAGCUGCACACAGAUUGAUCUCUGUCCCAUCUCCAGGAUCAGAAAUAUCACAGAGAUCUCCAGAUAGAAUGUCAACCAGAUCUAGCGUCAAUAGCCCACUAACAAGCAUAAAAGACUCUGAGAGCAGCGAAGAAGAAGAGGUAGGCAGAAAUAGAUCAUCUAAGCAAGCAAGUAAGAGAACAGGGAGAAAGUCUUUGGCAGUUGAGAAGAUAGUGGAUGAAUCGACAGUCAGCAAGCGCAAGAGUCGUCGUCUCACCAGCAGCACACUCCCAACGGCUAUAGUGAGUGAGUUGCCUGAGAAGAUCAAGACUGGCAAGGCAUCUCGAAAGUCAGUUGUGUCGUCAAAGCUUUAUGCUGAUACAGAGACAGGGUUGUCCACGCCCCCAGAAUUUGGUGCUACUCGUCGUGCGCGGACUUCAAAGAAAGGAAGUAUUGCCUCCACUUCAAUAUUGCUCUUGGAGGAUUCAAAAGAAUUACUGGACGAAGAAGAGGAAAUGGUCCUGGAAGGUGGAGGGGAUGUGUUUGAAAGUGUAGAUGAUGAAAUUGCAGAGGCUGAAACAGAAGCCCAAGACAGUCCAGACAUCUCCCUCCUGAUGGAAGCAAGCAACAAGGGCAGAAGGAAGCGUUCCAGGGCCCUUUCUUUACUGUCAGCACCAAAGGAGGGGAAGAAGUUCUCUGCGCUGCCCAAGCGUUCCUUGAAGUCAAUGAGAUUGGCAACCGAUUCUUCCCAGGAUGAGGAAACAAUGGAAACGAUAGUGAAAAAGACGAGGAAAGCUUCCCGAAGGACCAUGGCAGCAGAUGCAACAAUUCUUGAGAUGGACCCAGAGAGGAGGGACAUUGUUGGAGAUAAGGAGGAGGAGGAACAAAAGGUGGAGAAAGUAGAAAAGAAAAGAAGCACUUGAACACCUGAUGGGAGAAGCAGUCGAGUUCUUGUUUUCUCCUCCUUUAGCCGAAGGAAGGAUUGUGAAAACCCAUGCCAAGAUCGAGGAAGCCAGAAGCAGUUCGAGUGAGUCUGAGACAGAAGCAGCUGCUCCAGAGAAGUCG
rnacentral:misc_RNA from 1 species